UCUCCGUAGGUGAACCUGCGGAGGGAUCAUUAUAGAGUUCUCGUCCUCGCGGGUAGAUCUCCCACCCACUGUUAUCGUUACUGUGUUGCUUUGGCGGGCCGCCGGGCCCCGCUCGGCCGCCGGCUCCGGCUGGCGCGCGCCCGCCAGAGGCCCAGCAAACUCUGAAUGUUAGUGUCGUCUGAGUACUAUAUAAUAGUUAAAACUUUCAACAACGGAUCUCUUGGUUCUG
rnacentral:misc_RNA from 1 species